CAUUAAGAGCACAGAGGCUGUGGAGGGGGCUGAAGCCGUGGCCCCCGCCUCUCGGUGGCGGUGCUGAGCGGGCUGCCCGGUGUGCAGCUCUGGGCACCGCAAGAGGCCGGUGGCAGGCCCGGGGCGCGGGCAGGCCGCACGGGGCUGGCGGCGUGCGGCCCGCACCGCCCGCGCCCCGCGGGCAGCCGCCCGCAUCGUGACUUUCAGCCCGAGUCUAAUCCGAUUGACGGAGUGGCCAGAGAUGCUGAUGGGAUUAGAGCUCAGCAGAAUGACGAAGCACUUGGGAUUUGCCUCCGUGCAGAUCCCUGCAGCACGCCGAAGGGAAAUGGCUGCUCCUGAUUUGCAGGAAUGUUGCUCUGAGGUGGAGGGUUCUCUCCACAGUCUGUAGCCACAGCUGGGCCUGACGUGUUUUUGACGGUGUCUAAGGUGUUGUGAGUUUUGACAGUGUCUAAUACCGGGGUCCCAGGCACUGGGAUGCCGCCGUGGAGCCGGCGGGGGGUCGGGCUCUGCUUCCCGGGUGCCCUGGCAGGUGGCAGCUCUGUGGGCACCUCUCCUCCCUCCCCGUCCCGCUGGGAACUGGCAUCAUUGGGGUGCCCAGCUCCCAGGGGAGCUCCGGGCUCCUUGGCUGCUAUAAAUCACCCCGUGCUCACUGACCGCAAGGUGGAUUUGCACCGUUUGUGGAUUUCGUUCAUUGCGCUUAAAAGGACUCCUUUUAUUUUCCCCACGGCUGAAGCACCGCUGCUGCUAAUAGAGUAAAUUGCCAGUACAUCACAGCAAUCAUCCCUGCCGCUUUCACAGGAACCGAGCACUCCCUCUGGAGCGAGCCUCCGAUUUUAAGCCCUGAAAGAGCAGCUUGACACCCUGUGACCUGCCUGGAGUUAACAGCUUAGGGGAUGGAAACAUGUCUGAAAGUCUCCAGGAAGAUAAUACUUGGGAAGACAGGUUUAAGCUAAAUAAGAAAGCAGAUUUCAUCGGCCUUCUUGGAAACAACCUGUCCAGAGACUUGUGAUCCCUUUCUAAAUUUGGCCUUCGCAUUUUCCACGUACAGGAAGUGAUGAAAACAGCAGCAGUAAUCCCUGGCAGCAUAAGGCCAGUGGCAAAAGUACAUCUCACAAGAACCAGUUGGCUUCAGAUGCGGACUUCACAGUUGUUAUCCCUGGCUGUUAUCACUGUGAAGCUUAAUUAGGCACAAGCCAGAGCAGCUUGAAGUCUCAGAGAUCAUCCUUGGUGGAGAAAAACGAAUCCUGGUCUACACUCCUGUUUCAAGACAUGAGUUUCUCUCAGAGACUAGGGUCAAGCUGUAGCCCUGAGCAACAACAAGGUUGCCUGAUGGGCUAUUCUGGAGUGUUAAAUACAAAUCAUCACAGUGCUCUAUUGGAUGAGCUUCUCUACACUGGGCAGAUCACAUGCUUCAGAGAUCAAAUCAGCUCACAUCUAUCCACUGGCAACUUCCAUUCAAUGGCAGUGGCUUUGGCACAGCUAUUCACAAUUUCAUGGCAGAAUUCAGGAAAAUUUUACCACAAAAUUGGAGGAAAUAUGAUUUGAAAAUGGAAGGACAGGCAGUGAAAAUUUUGUAUUGGAAUGCUGAGAUAUCAAUGCUGAGAUGCAUUGGAAUAAGAUCUCUGAUUUGGGUCUGGGGGUUUUUUGUUUUGUGGCUUUGUUUGUAGUCCAGAUCCUGUCUUUUCAUUCACCUUAGUGUGUAUCUUAGGGAAAUGCCUUUGCACCUCUCUUUUCUCAAAAGUAAUCCAGCACUAACUGUGUCUGCUUACACGAUUUAUUUGUUCAGACCAUAACCAAUACCCAGAGUCCAUGGAAGAGCACUGGAGUUAGAAAUUGCAACCUGCUUUGAAGUAAACCACCCAGAGGUUUUAACUGGUGGAGGUCAGUGGAGAUGGGGACAGAGGAAGGAGGCAAGAGGUGCUGUCUUUAGAAGAAACUGUGUUUGUGAUCUCUCUAACUUGCCUUCUUGACAACUGGAGGGGGAUUUUCCUAAUAGAAAACCUGUGAGCUAUAUGAGGAGAGUAAUCCACUUGACCCUUGCCCUCUCCUAAGCCUUUAAGUCAUCAUAACAUUUCUUUUCUUUCCAGCUGCAGGACCACUUCUUGGGAUUCAUUUUGAUUGCAAUGCAAACCCAGCAAUGUUUAGCCAGGAGGAAGACCAGGGUAGGGGUGUUGGAGCAGGAUACGUGAGUGGGGACACAGCAAUCAUGUGAAGAGGGUGAGAGCUGGUGGCAGCGAGGAAGAUAAACAGGGUGUGUUUGUGCAAGUGACCUUAUUUAUUUCAGCAUCCUGAGGAGGGACCAAAUGUACUGCAUUGGAGGAAGUCAGUCCACACACACACACAUACGGGAGUGGGUCCAGCACUGCGUGGCUGGCACAAGCCCAGGCACUGCCUUGCAGGGUGACAGCUUGGGGUUCUCGGGGCAGCUGCUGUCCUCAGCGCUAGCUUUUGAGAGCUCUUUGCAUUGCAGGCUGUGCUGAAACGGGCAGGGUGGGUAUUCAGAGCUGGCAGGAAGGGCGUUCUGCUCUGGCACCCCCCAGCCCUGCGGCGGGCAGCAGCAGUGGGGGAGGACCCAUGGCCCCGUGGCACUGCACAGACCCCACCAGUGAGCAACUGAAUCACAGUCGUGAUUUGUCUCUUCAGCAUUUGGCCGCUGACUGGCUCAUGGACCAGUCCUGACAUUAUUUCUUUUUAAUACUGUAUUUGUUAUCCUCAGAAUAUUUUGGGUGGGUAAUUAUCCAGUGUGUACUCUGUUGCAGAGCCCGAGAAUAUUUGCUUUGGCUUUACUUCCUGGUUAGUUAGGGUGUGCGGUUGCUGGCCUAGAUCUCAUGGCAUUGUUUCUGACUACGUAAAUGAAAUUUUUAUACAAGAGAAUAAUGAAUACAGACCAGAGAAUAAGGCACAUCCUGUGGCAAUUUCACAAAGGCAAUUUUUCUUGCUAAAGCCCAUAAGGGGCUCAGCAGUUGUGAUUAUUUACACAUGUACUUAAUGGCUGUCCACAUAUGACUGAUAUGGGAUAACAGACACCUAGUAACCAGAGCCAGCUGCGUUUGGUGGUGCCUUGAAUCAUCUCUGGCUUUGUCUGUUUUCUUUCCCUCUCCUCUUUCCUGUUUGACUUUAGAGGCGCUCCUAAGGAUGGGGAAGAAAACCUUCAUUUAAAACCGUAUGAAACCAAAGGCUGGGUGUAACCAGCUUCAAAUCCAGACAAGAGUCAGCAUGUAACUUUAUGUGUUACUGUCUUCAUCGUUCAGAGCAUCACAUGGAUGGGGUGGCACUUUAAAACACACAGAGGAUUGCUGCCACACGAGCAGUAAUGUGUGCACACACACGCACACCCCUCGGUGUACACAUACUUUACACUGCACCCAGUUUGGCUGUGGUGCCAGUGAAGAAAGCUCAGCCUGAAUGUUCUCUCAACUCCCUGUGCUGAGACCCACUUUGCCAUAGCUGAAAUGGCUGUGAAAACUGGCUAUUUUAAACAGUUUAUCUGAGCUAGGUGUCAGUCAGAGAGAUUAUUCUAAUCCUUGCAAAAACUAAAGAGUUUGCUUUUUCCAAAUCUUUGAAUGCGAUCUUGUGGCUAUGUUAAUGCACACACGACUUCAAGAUAUUGAAACUUCAGUAUCAAGUGUCACAAAUGUAUGUCCAAGCCCCAAGUGUGAUCAUGGUACUCAGACAGCAGCUGUUGCUAAAGAGUUCAAUCUAUCACUUCUCAUCCCACAAACAAAUGGCAAAUGUUCCUGAGGAUCUUUUAAAAGUAAAAGAGAUCAGAUAUAAUAAAAAGAAUUUGAAUGUGUCUAGAAAAUAAUGUUGGUAAAACACUGGAAACCACAAAUUCCACUGACAUGGGAUUUUAUUAUUUGCAGGCGCUUUUGUUUACUGCCUGUGCAGGUCCAGACCUUGCCUUGGGUACACGGUGGGGACUUGCUGGAAAGGACAUGAGUGGAGAUGAGGGGUAGGAAUCGAUGUUAUUUGCAAGUUACCAAACCACUGCUUAUGAGAGAAUGGAAAACCUUUGCCUGACAAAGAGGGUUCUGUGGGGUUUGAAGGCAAGGCUUGCCUGUCAUCCACAAACCAAGGGAGCUCUGAUAGGAGAAUAUCUUGUGCCAUGAUGCCAUCUAAGCUUGGGAAGCAAUACAAGACAGCAGGGGUGAUGCCUUCACUAGCUGCCUUGUCAGCCACAAUGCUCCCUUUCCAUCACUGCACCCCAUUCCUGAGAUUAGGAUCCAUGCUGGUGUGAGCCCCCCAUAUCACAGGCUGCCAGUUGCUCAGAAAUCCUGGCUCUGAAUGGGUGAAUGGGUAGUUUCAUGGUGGGUUGAAAAUACAGCCCCGUCCUCAAUGUAACCUUUAAUCUUGAUUAAAAAGCUCCCGGGGCCAGGCAGCCUGGGCUGCAUCCUUUGUUCAGUUCUGGCAGUGGCUCUUGCAUUCCCUAAUCCCUGUUAAUAUCACUGCUUGUCAAAGAAGAUUUGUGCCUUUCCUGGAAGAUGGACACUUAUUUUGUACCGGCCGGGGGAGAAGGAGACGCCUCAUCAGCUGGUGCUGGGAACAGCGAGUAGCAGACAAGAAAGGCAUCCUGUUUUCUGGGGAGAAGGAGUGGGAGGUGGGCGAGCAUCUGGCUCUGGCUAUUAACUCUGGCUGCUAGCACUGCUCCUGUGUUUUCAGGAUGCAACACAAUCCUCUAUUUUAACUAAGGCACAAUCCGUGAACUUCUCCUGGCAGCGUUUGUGGCCAAGGUACCAACAGAGUAUCCUGGCCAAACUGCAGGACAGAUUAUGCUCUGCUGACCUAUAUUCCCCUAAAGUCAUUUUCAAUUAGUGUAGUAGUUAUUCCCCUUUGUGCACCAGUAAAUUUCUCCCUGCCAUGAUGUUGAGGCUCCAGUGGCCAUGCUCUCUUGGGGGCAUUUUGCUGGCUUUUCCAAGCAGACAGAGAAAAGGUCUGGACACCCAUUGCUGCUCAAGCAGCAGUCUCUGCAGCUAAGCCUGAGCCCAGACCGUAGUUCUUCUCAUACUGGUCAACUCGCAUCUCAAAUCCCUAUUAGAAAGUCCUUCCUGGGAUGUGGACAACCUUCUUUGGCUCAGUCAUGGCAGGAACUUGGUACCACAUCCUGAGAGAGGAUGAGAUACCUCAGCUCUUCUGUUAUCAGGAUGCCUUUGAUGUGGGUUUUUUUUUCUCUCUCCUGCCAUUAGCUGCUUCAUUUUGUGCAGGCAUGGGGAGAGGCAGCGACACUGCAGCUGAUGCCAAGUGCUGGUACAAGGAAUCACACCAUGCCUCUGGCUGGUCUCCUGCCAGGGUGACUGAGCUGGCAUACAUGGGUUCCCUGGAGGGUUGGGGUUUCUGCUGGCCCAGAGGAAGCCCUGGUCACCUGGCCUCUGUUGCUGUGUAGUGCAUCCUGUGUCAGCAGGCCAGCUUCAGAAUAACCACACCAUCUUCUCUGCCCAGACCCAGCCUGGCCAGCAAACCCCAGCAGGUCAGAGGCAAAGACAGCAGUGGCUUACAAUGGCAGUAAGGAGAAGGAUGCUCUGGGUACCCCUGGGAUAUGUGUACCAAAUGCUCCCAGGGCAGUGUGUCUCCAGCUCAGCACAGGCAGGCUCCUGCUGUCGGCUGGUGACAGCUCAGCAAGGUGGCUUUUGUCAUCUGGAACUGGCAGCAACUUCUGCUGCAAUCUCCAUUAGGUGGCUCAGGGAACCUGACCAGGGCUACAAAAUGUGAGAAAAGGACCCCAAAGGCCACUUGGUCUGUCCCCCUUGACAAGGCAGGAUUAAAAUGUGUCAGUGCAUUUGGAGAGUCCUCCUCGGCAAUCGCUUCUCUCACUAUCCCUUUCCUGGCUACUGCCCACGCACCAGCUGAGAUGAGCUAAUAUAAUUAGCAAGACUUAAUGAGGGACAGCGCUGCUGGCCAGUGCCUUCGGUGGAGCUGCUGAGCUCUGUCUGCAUCAGGGCACAACCCAUUCUGUUAUCAAACAGCUGCCUCGAAAACUGGAUGAGAUUUUAUCCUUUGCUUUCAGGUUUAAUACGGAAAGCUGUGAUUCAGCUUUGUGCAGAAAGCUGUUCAUCAGGCUCCCAGAAAAGCUGACCCAGCUGGGAUCUCCCUCACAUAAGCAAAGUCCUGGGCAUGAGUGGUGUCUUGGGCAGUAGUGGGACAUGAGGACUAUGAUGGGAGAGUUUCUAAAUCAAUACUAUUGUUUAUUCAUAGACAUGGAAUAUUAUACUCAACAGUUUCUUUGGAUCUCUAGUGUUAAUGAGCUAUAUAAAAUACAUACAUCAUCCUCCUUCCUUUGCCAUGAAAAUGUGACAUUUUCUUGCCUACAGAUUUUGAAUUUUCCCUUCUUGGUUGAACAAUUAAAAAAAAAAAAAAAAAAAAAAAAAAAAAAAAAAAAAAAAAAAAGGCCUACAUAAUGAAAACCAGAAACCCCAUGGCUUGAGAUGUUCUUCAGUAUGAUAAAUGGAUGUGAAAAUUAAUUUGUGUUGGAGCCAUAGCAUUGGAUGACUGGAAUUGUUCCUUAUUAUUGGUAAACAAGCAGGCCAGCUGAGGACAAGCUUAAACUACAUUCCAGGUAGAAAAAAACAAAGCUGAAACAGUGCCAUCAAAGGUAGCUGAUAGUUCAAAGCAAAACUUUUUACCUUUUCUCACUCGGUGCUUGCUAGGUUUUUGUUGUGGUUUAAAUCUAGUUGGAAACUAAGCCCCACAGAGCCAGUCAUUCACUCUUUCCCUGGUGGGAUAGGGAAGGGAAUCAGAAGAUUCAAAGUGAGAGAGGUUAUGUGUUGAAAUAAAGACAGCUUAACAGGCAAAGAAAAAGCCACACACAAGAGAAACAAGGAAUCUAUUCACCACUUCCCAUGGUCAGGCAGGUGUUCAGCCAUCCCCAGGAAAGCAGGGCUCCACCUUGUGUAAUAGUGACCUGGGCAGACAAACGCCAUUAGUCCAAAUGUCCCUCCCUCUCUCCUUCCCCCAGCUAUAUGGGGAUCCCUGAGCCUGAUGCCAUAUGCUCUAGGAUAUUCCUUUGGUCAGCUGGGGUCAGAUGUCCCUGCUGUGUCCUCUCACAACUUCCUGUGCACUCCCAGCCCUCUUGUUUGUGUGGUGGGGUGAGAGGCAGAAAGACCCUGACUCAGUGUCAGCCCUGCUCACCUGGAACAACAACAUCUCUGUGUUUUCCACAUUGUUUUGGUCACAAAUCCAAACCAUAGCCCCACAGCAGCUAUUAGAAGAAAAUCAACUCUAUCCCAUCCAAAACCAACACACACCUUUCUACAGGUUAUUUUCCUAGAAGUCCUGUUGGAAGACUUUUGCUUCUAAAGAAACAAGGCUGGAGAAAAGCAACUGCAGCCUGCUACCUCAGCAUACCUGCAAUGCAGCUGGUAUUUCUCAAAUCUCAUCCAGGACUUUUAGUUUUUCUUCAAGGUGGCUUUAAAUUACCUGUUUCAAACCACAUUGUUUAAAUCUAAUUUAUGGGAGUCAAAGGCACAUCUAAGCAAUCACUGUCACGUCUCCUUCCUGCUGCCUAAAUACAUAAUGGCACUUCAUGAGAUAUAGUCUCCAUAUCCAUCCUGACCCAAGGUGUUCCUGACACAUAAUACCUGUCCUUGCCCCCGUCCCCAUGCAUGGCACUGCAGUUCCUCAGCUCCCUGGCACACUUUGCACAACACUGAAUUGAACUGAGGAACUGAUCUGGCUUAAAGAACAUCUGCCAAAACCCUUCCCCCCCGUCCUGUUUUUUAAUCUGUAUCAAUUCUCCAGUCUGGCCCCGGUGUUAGGGCUUGGUGUUAGAGCAGACAGGGAAAAAAAACCCUGGAGGAUGAGGGGUGAAAAGGUGAGAAUAAGGAAAAUCUUCAUCUCAUCCUGUUGCUGUGGUCUCUGUCCCAUGAGCUGUCUGCUGUCAGACACCACGCUGGGAGAGGUCACCCCAAACUUUCUUGAGUCUCUGCUUUAGCAGAAGUGAUGUCAGGAAAAUAUCAGGCCAUGACUACUGGGGGGCUGUCACGCAAUGGUAAGGAGGAUGUGGUGAGUGCUCGGGAAAGAAUGAAGGAGGUGUUGGAAGAAAGGGUACUUUAAAUGAGAAAACCAGUGGGAACCAUCAAAACACCCACCUUUUCAGAAGAUGCACCUGUGUGACAGAGAAAGUGCAAGCCAUUCAGAGGAGGGUGAUCAAUGCAGGCUCUGUUGUGCUGCCAGGCAGUGUCACAGGUGCAUCAGCUGAUGGGAAGAAGACUUGCUUGGAUUUUUUUUUCCUUCAACAAACUGUAAUUUUAUGUAUAUACAUAUAUAUUAAUACAGGGCAAGCCAAAUGAGGCCACAAACACCCUUUUCACGUGUUCUCUGCCAAGAAAUCCACCCUGAGCUGUACAUGAAGCCUUGCCUGUAGGAAUUGUCUCUGUACAGACAAGCGGUUUACAGCCCAUGACCCCAAACCAUCAGCAGAUGCCAUUGUUAUUGCCCUCAAUGUUUGUCUGCAUCCCAAGGGUAUAGAAACUUCACUUUCUAUCCCCACCCCUGUUUUAAAUAGU